CCUACGGGGUGCUGCAGUGGGGGAUAUUGCACAAUGGGGGAAACCCUGAUGCAGCGACGCCGCGUGUGGGAAGACGGUCUUCUGGAUUGUAAACCACUGUCCCCAGGGACGAAAAUGACGGUACCUGGGGAGGAAGCUCCGGCUAACUACGUGCCAGCAGCCGCGGUAAUACGUAGGGAGCAAGCGUUGUCCGGAAUUACUGGGUGUAAAGGGAGCGUAGGCGGGGAUGCAAGUUGGGUGUCAAAACUACCGGCUCAACCGAUAGUCGCACUCAAAACUGCAGCUCUUGAGUGAAGUAGAGGCAGGCGGAAUUCCUAGUGUAGCGGUGAAAUGCGUAGAUAUUAGGAGGAACACCAGUGGCGAAGGCGGCCUGCUGGGCUUUUACUGACGCUGAGGCUCGAAAGUGUGGGGAGCAAACAGGAUUAGAUACCCUGGUAGUC
rnacentral:rRNA from 1 species